UUGCCUCAAAAUUAUGUUUGCCCUGAAUUGUGUGAAUGCCCCGUCUGAAAAGUAACCCGUGCCUUGUAUGCGUCUCUGAGCUGUUGUAGGAGUCUUUGGAAAUGAUGGUUCUGACUCCGGGUUGGAAACUGGAACACGCAUAACAGAUGGGAGGCGUUAAAGGAUGAGGGUUCUUCCUGGUGACCAUGCUCCAAGACCCUGAGGAAGGUUCCCCAUGAUGGCAGAUCCAAUGUGAUGGAAGCUCAUUCUCCUUCAGAGAUAGGUUUUCGCCAUGUUGCCCAGGCUGGUCUUGAACUCCUGAACUCAAGUGCUACUCCCUCCUUGGCCUCCCAAAGUACUUGGAUUACAGACAUGAGCUGCCACACCAGGCCUGAACUUCAGUUUCUCAUCUGCACAGCAGGGCUCUCACUGUGGGAGACCAAUGCAUGUACAAUGUGAGGUGCAUGUAGAGUCAGCCCAUCACAGGUAGAAUCUUUUAUCAUUGUUACUUCAGCUAACAAAUACUUACUGAGCACCUACUGUAUGCCAGGAGCUGUCUGAGAUCCUGCUUGUGUGGAGUCUGCAUUCUGGUUAUGUUCCAGUGGGUGGAGACACACAACGGAUAACGAACACGAUACAUGUUUAAUAUUUAAAGAAUAAAACUGCUGCACAGAUUUAACAUUUAAACAAUAAAGACAAGAAAUAGGUUUAAUAUUGACAUAAAUAAAUGUAAUUAUUUAAAUGGUAAACACAACAGAUGCUUAUUAUUUAGAUAAUAACUAUAGUGUGUUAGAAUUAAUUUAAAUAACAGAGAAAGAGGAGAUGUUAGAAGAUGCUGAGAGAGCGGAUGGAGAGAACUCUGUGAGCACUGUUUUGGGACUUCCAGCUGUAGAGGAAGAGGAGCUUAAGAGCUGUAAUCCUCACUUCAGGAGAUGUCCAGUGGGGCUGGAGCAUUUUUUCUUUGUAAAAUAGACUCCGUUUCUUUCCUCCCACAGGAAGCCUUUCUGGCACCCUAGUCCCUCUUUCCUUUGAAAUUCUGUGGCUAUACUGGCCUUUGCCAUCACACCUUGUUCUCAUCCUAGCUGACCUCUGAAGGUUGAUGACACUAAGCCCUACCAAGGGCAGUCAUUCAACAUUGCAUCUAACCUUUGCAAUAACCCCCGUGAGGCUGCUGCUUUUGUGUUACUUUGCAGCAGAGGAAGCAGAAGCUUUUGCAACUUGCCCAGUUCGCACAGCUGGAAAGGGAUGAAAUUAGACUGUGCCCCCCUUCCACCCGCUGGGUGAUGGCUGUUUCUCUGCUCACCUGUGUCCUGGACCCAAGAAGGGCAGGGUUACUUCUGAGCUCCUCUGGGUUUCACCGCCCCAGCUCCAGCUCUAGCUCCUGACUCUGGCUCUUUCUCUCACAGGGGCAGAGGGAGGGUCUACUGAAUGGGAGCUAAGGGGCUUGCUCCCAGGGUAACAGACCAACUGUUCAGGCUUGCUGGGACCAUCCUAUUGUUAGCCCUUAGAGUCCUGCACCCUGGAAAGCUUCUCUUACAGGGACAACUGCUCACCCUAUAUGCAGAGGCCAGUCUCCUGUCCAACCCCAUGGGUAUCCUGAACUCAUGCUGUCCCUGAUGAAGAAAAACUGCUUAUAGUAUGUCUCAUGUUUUAGGCAAAGUCCAAGUUGUGAAAAGUCUUUAAAGGUAACAGGACAGCUUAUCUGUGGGGGCACUCCCGGACAUAGCAGCAGAAGAGGAACUGAUACAUCCCUGGAGGACAGGAAGUCUUGAAGAUGUACCUAGCCUUUUACCUCAUAAUGCCCCAUCUAUGAAUUUCUCCUUACAAGAAGCCAGAAAUAUGGAUAAAGAUUUCUGAACAAUUCCCCACAGAGCUGGUUAUACAAAAAUUUGAAUAAGUUAAGAUAGCAAAUAUCAUACAGCUAUAAAAGAUCAUAUUAUAGGAGAUUUAAUAACAGAGGAAAAGGGACAUGAUACUAUGCUAAGUGGAAGAUGGAAGCUAUAGAACUAUGUAAACAUAGCUUAAGCCCAAUUUUAUUUGAAAUAAUUAUAUAUGGGCCGGGUGUAGUGGCUCACGCCUGUAAUCCCAGCACUUUGGGAGGCCGAGGCGGGUGGAUCACGAGGUCAAGUGUUCGAGACCAACCUGGCCAACAUAGUGAAACCCCAUCUCUACUAAAAAUACAAAAAAAUCAGCUAAGUGUGGUGGUGGUGGGCACCUGUAAUCCCAGCUACUCAGGGGCUGAGGCAGGAGAAUCAUUUGAACCUGGGAGGCAGAGGUUGCAGUGAGCUGAGAUCACACCACUGCACUCCAGUCUGGGUGACAGUGUGAGAUUCCGUCUCAAAACAAAUUAUAUAUAUGCAUAGAGAAAAAGACUGAGGAGAUACUUCAGAACGUUAAUGUACUGUUCUUUGAGUGUAGGGUAAUUUUUAUUUUCUUCUUUGUAUUUUCCUGAAAUAUAAAUUUCCCUAAUACAAAUACAAUUGUUUUUUUUUUUUUGAGAUGGAGUCUUGCUCUGUCACCCAGGAUGGAGUGCAGUGGCCCAAUCUCAGCUCACUGCAACCUCUGCCUCCUGGCUUUAAGCGAUUCUCCUGCCUCACCCUCCCAAGUAGCUGAGACUACAAGUGCCUGUCACCACACCUGGCUAAUUUUUAUAUAUUUAGUAGAGAUGGGGUUUCGCCAUGUUGGCCAGGUUGGUCCCAAACUCCUGGCCUCAAGUGAUCUGCCCACCUCAGCCUUCCAAAGAGUUGGGAUUGUAGGUGUGGGCCACCAUGCCAGCCACAAGUACAAACUUUUUUUUUUUUUUUUCGAGAUGGAGUCUUGAUCUGUCGCCGAGGCUGGAGUACAGUAGCAUAUCAUGGCUCAUUGCAACCUCCACCUCCUGAGGUCAAGCAAUUCUCCUGCUUCAGCCUCCUGAGUAGCUGGGAUUACAGGCGCCCACCACCAUGGUUGGCUAAUUUUUGUAUUUAUUUAUUUAUUUAUUUAUUUAUUUUUGAGACGGAGUUUCGCUCUUGUUACCCAGGCUGGAGUGCAAUGGCGCGAUCCCAGCUCACCGCAACCUCCGCCUCCUGGGUUCAGGCAAUUCUCCUGCCUCAGCCUCCUGAGUAGCUGGGAUUACAGGCACGCACCACCAUGCCCAGCUAAUUUUUUGUAUUUUUAGUAGAGACGGGGUUUCACCAUGUUGAUCAGGAUGGUCUCGAUCUCUUGACCUCGGGAUCCACCCGCCUCGGUCUCCCAAAGUGCUGGGAUUACAGGCAUGAACCACCACGCUUGGCCCAAUUUUUGUAUUUUUAGUAAAGAUAGGGUUUUGCCACAUUGGCCAGGCUGGUCUUGAAUUCCUGAUGUCAUGUGAUCUACUCAUCUUGGCCUCCCAAAGUGCUGGAAUUACAGCUGCGAACCACUGCACCGGGCCACAGUACAUGUUAAUUUUAUAAUUGGAAGUCAGUAACUUUGAAAUAAUAUUGCAUAAAAUUGUUCUGUACUGAGCCCUUCUGAUUCAGCCUGACCUCCCUUCCAGUGGGCAUGAAUGGGUGCGUUUUAGAGUAGAAUGCAGUGGGAAAAGCACUGGAUCGGGAUUCAGAGGGAAUCUCCCAGCUCUUGCUGAAGUUGUUGCCUCUGCCCAGGAUGCCCCUACUUCCUGCAUGUGAGGUCCAGCUCAGAUGCCACUUCUGCUGUCCCUUCUGCUGGAGCACCCAUCACCCAUCACUGCCUGCCAUUUAUCUGUUUACACACCUGCGUCUUCCUUCUCUGGAUCUCAGUUUCUCCUUCUGUAAC